AGAGGUGGGCGUGGGCUGGGCAACGUCCAAGAGGCCGUGGUCAUUGGUGUCGGACAUGGCACCGGGCCUAGCGUCGGGCAUGGAGCCGGACGUGGCCGACGCAUACUAGGCCCCUGGUACGGAGAAGGUGAUGCUGCCGGCGACGCUAGCAUGGACGAGGACUCGGACAGCGACAGCGACAGCGAGAGCGAGAGCGACUCGGACAGCGACAACAACACCCAAGCUCGAACGGUGGACCUAAAUCAUUUGGCGAACAUUCGAACCAGAUCUCAGUACAGCAACAAGGACAAGCGACAUGUUUAUAACGUGCUGUUACAGAAAAAUGGUCGACUAGGUCGGUUGAAGCAUGGAGUGAGCAAGGCCGUGGCACUUCAAUGCAAUAUGUCACGGAGGAGUGUAGUGCGGAUAUGGAAGGAUGGCAUGCUUGGUGGAGGUGUAAACGCUGUGAUCAACAAGAAGAAGAAGCGAUGUGGCCGCAAACGGAUUGAGAUUGACACCGUCGCCAUGGAACAAAUACCACCGCAAGAAAGGACAACACUUGAAUCCCUUUCGAAGGCUAUGCGCAUGUCCGUUUCAACCCUGCACCGACGUCUGAAAGAGAAGAAGUUUCGGCGCCAUAGCAAUGCCUUGAAGCCGACACUAACGGAAGAGAAUAAGAAGACCAGGGUACGUUAUUGCCUUUCUAUGUUGGAGCCUUCGAUUUCAAGUUUGCAUGAGAAACAACUCUUCAAGUCAGCAUACAACAUAGUUCACAUUGAUGAAAAAUGGUUUUAUCGCACCCGGGAAAGUCAAUGGUUUUAUUUGACGAACGAAGAGCCCGAUCCAGAGAGACAUUGCAAGAACAAGGGGUGGAUCCAAAAGGUGAUGUUCCUUGCUGCUGUAGCUAGACCAAGGUUUGAUAGCAAUGGGAAUUGCAUUUUUGAUGGCAAGAUUGGAGUCUGGCCAUUCAUUGAGUGGAAGCCUGCCGAAAGGGGCAGUCAGAACAGGUUAAGGGGAACUUUGGAAUUGAAGCACAUUAGUCCUGUCACUAAGGAGGUU
rnacentral:rRNA from 1 species